rnacentral:lncRNA from 1 species
CGAGUUUGCUAGUUUAAUUUUAAGAUGUAUUUGGACAGAAGCAGGGAUUGCUACACAAGAACAUUUUCAAUUAACUUCAGAACUGCUUGUUUUCUGGCGGGGGGGGGGGAUGACACGUGGGUCACAGAAAGCCGAAUAUUUGUCUCUCCAGGUUAGCGUCAGAAGGACACAGCAGAGCAAAGGUGUUAAGAAGGAAGAGGACAGCAGGGAGUGGCUGCAUGUUACUUUUGUUGUAACAAUGGAAGGAAAUAUCAACAUUACCCGCCGUCUGGCAAAGAGACUGUCUUAAAACACGCCAAAACUUCCUCAAACAAAGCAAUGUGUCACCCUUUGAGGCAAUGCCUCCUCAGUUUAACAUUUCUUAUACGCAAGACAUAUAAAGCAACAUUUGCAAUUCCUUUUUAAAAGGAAGCCUCUUUUUUGUGAAUUGUUUCCCAUCUUCUGUCCCCUCAAACCAUGUAAAAACUUCUUUUCAUUUUGUUUUUUACCAGGCUGAUGAAAACUCCUAUAAUUCUGGCCAAUACUCCCUUUUUUCUGGAGCAGCAGAACCUGGUGGCAUUCAGAAGUAAUGCACCUGUGGAAAAACCCUCUACAUGACAUCAUGGCUGAAUUUCUCUUCAAAUACGAACAUGCCCGGGCAGACUGCCCAGCGCCUCAUCUCACACUUGGACACGUGAAAGCUCUCGCUCAAGCAUUAAGUGGUACUAUGAACAGAAGCUAGAGAUUGAGACUCCUUGAAACACGCCGACAGCCUGUGUGUGACAGGGAAGAUGAUGCACAACUACCUGGAGUGUCCGUAACAGUCUAUGGCUGCAGAGCAAGCGUUUCUCCUCAAUUCUACAGCAUUCUACACCUCAAAAUAUUUGACUGAAACGCUGGACAGGACUCGGCAAGGUAACGUGCCUGGUGACAGUGACGUCUCUGGAAAAGGCAACAGAAGCAGCACACCAAGAGGCCUGCGCACAGUCACCCUCAGCAGCGGCAGACAGCGCGCAAGCGCAGCAGAAGACCCAGGGAGGGUAGCACGCACGACGGCUGUAAAGGCUCGAGAAGCCAGACUUCAUUCAGAAAUUGUACGAGUUGUAAUAUUUAUUAAUCACUGGAUUAUUUUUGCACUGUUUUUGUCCUGUUGUAUUCUUUUCUCUGUUUGCGUAUUUGCAGUUUUGAUUACACUGUUAUUGUUAUUGUGUUACUGUCUAUUGUCUUGUCUUCUAUUUAUAUACUGCAGCUGAGUGACUAAUGAGCAACACUUUUCGCUAUACCAUGCACCUGUGCAAGUAUAAUGACAAAUACAGUUGAAUAAAGUUUGCCGGGCUCAUGGCUUCUUUUCAAGAGGCGAUUGCAGCCCAGUGUGGCCACCCAGAAAGGAACUCAAAAGCAAAUGAAAAGAGUUUGCAGCGAAAGCUCAAGGCCCAGAUCAAAGUGACCACGUUUGCCGUGAAAACAAAAUCAAGAUUAUCAAGUGUUGAAUUUAAAAACUAUCGCCUGUUUCUCAAUUCUUUAAAGCCCCUCAUUCCACAGAGCUACAUACACUGUCAUUCAAUCUCUAAGUUCAAUGAACUAGGCAACAGAGCAUAACUUUUGGGCACAGGAAUUUCUGAAUCAUAAAAAAAUGCUCUCCCUGCACUAGAGACCACAUUUAGAGCACAGUUAGAAACAGCUUUGUGGGAGCCACCUGCUGGAUGCUUACAAAUGCAGCAACCCUGAGACGAGACAAUUCUUCCAGCACAACCAGACACAUGAGGCACCCAAUCCUCAUACCCUCCUGUUGCCCAUUCACAGAGCCGUCUGCGCACACGUCACCUCUGCCUGGUAACUCUCUGCUCUCCUACGCCAUCUGUGGCCCAGAGCUGCUCCACAACAUGCCCACACAAACCCCCGGGUGUUUCAAUCUCCUGCAGGCUAAAACUUCAAAUCAAACACUAGACGGGGCCUCACAACAGAUAAGAAAUUAAAGCAAUCAAAGAAAGGCUGGGGAUAAAAACAACUACUGUUGCACAUCCGUCCACAUCAGAUAAAGCCAUGUGAUAGGAAACCCACCGUGUGUCAGGCCAGUGCUGCUGAUCUCAUAACUUGAGACUGUUUACAGCGUUGCUGGGAUACACCGCAAAACAGACGCCUUGACUGCAAUUAUUUUCAAUCCAGCUUUCUAUUAUCCAUUUCUUCUGCUCCCAUGCCGGAGUUAGGACAUGCACCACGGAAGAUAUGUUAACGUCAAGACUUUACACUAGACAUUUUCAGAAGUGCUGCUGCAAGGGAAUACUGUAUUUUACAUCAAUGGCUUAUGCAAUGCGGGACAUGGGCAAGUCUCAUAAACACAGUGUUCCGUGUGUUCAUGAGACUGUGUGUAAGAUGCCAAAGGGGGUGAAUACUUUUUAUAGCCACUGGAUAAUGAAUAAACAUUAUUCAUUACAGAGUCGCCUCAGGGAGGAAGAACCUUGUGAUUUGACCCCAGACGACUGUGCUCUGUUCUAGAGGCUGAAUUCCUGUUGUGGCACGGACUGGAACAGGUUAGUCAGUCUGCCUGGUCUGACAGUUUCCAGCCCUGCCUGAGCUGGGAACCCACUGAGGAAAUGCUAUAUACUGAGAAGUUACUCAACACAAAUGUUCACAAAGGUCCGGCUCCCAGAUUUGAGACUGAAUAAGAGUGUUCUGCUCUGAAACCUGAAGUAGGAGCAGAUCUGUGGGCCCUGAAUGCUUGCCCUCUCUAAGCAAUUAAAUAAAUCAGCCCUGGUUAAACAUCAAACAAGGCAUAAGUGACAUAUAACCAGCCAGAAGACAAACAUAACUUGGAAAUUAUUUUUUUUACAAAAUGGGAUGAUGCAGCAGAAAAGAAUCUCAAACUCUGACUGUGUAAAUAAAACUUGCCGAUCAAGACCAUCGCAUAUGGAGGAGGGCUCUUGUAGUUUUGUUACUGUGCAACGCAGUGAAAUGUUAACAGGGGUAGUGAAGUAGGUCAAAGCUCAGAUUGAGAGCCAGGCCCCGAGAGUCAGUACUGGAGGUGGUGGCAGGGACAGGGCUGGUAAAUAUUUUUCCUGACUUUGCUGGCUUCAAUCACGAGUGCGUUUGCUUACAGUAUGUGAGUCAUCUGUGUUUCAGAAUUGAAUCGCAUUCAAAGAUCUCGGCACUACAUUAAUCCCUGGGAUUUGAAUAUGUUUGGCUGGAGAAAAGAAAAACCCAUAUGCAAUCGUCCACUGAAACAUGUUUAAAUGCAGGACAAGUCUAUUAGGGAAUGGGAACUAAUUUUGGGGCAGAAAAAUCUGAUUUUAAGUUGUUGGAUAUGUUAGGCUUUGCAACAUCUUAAAAUAUCUUGCAAAACAAUGCUUAGGAAAAAGAAAAGGGCCAAAGAGCCUGAAUUAAUGUUUUAUAUCACUUUUAAACAAAUAUGUAAGGAAAGCAGUAUUCCCUGAUGUCUGGGAACUUUCAGAAGGUUUCAGAAAGCUCUGUUUUCAUGCUGCAAUCUGGCUUUCAGAAACCAGGGCUGAAACUAGAUCAUCCGGGAAAUCUCCAGUCAGAUUCCAUCAGCCCAUUCUCGUGUGGCAAUCGCUCACUGUGGCGCAGCUAAGGCAGUUAAUACCUUACAGACGAGACAGGACACCAGCGCCACAAAACUGCUGAUUCACCUGGAAUUCACAAACCCUCUGAAGCUUUAAGACAGAGCACGAGUGGCACAGGACAAGCAAAUGAGAGCCCCGUUGUCUGGGGCCUGCUGUCGAGUUAGACAAGAUACAAGUCGGCAACUCCACACAUGCACAACAUCCUGUCGAUGGUCAUCUCCUAAUCUGAUACAUGACAGCUCUUAAAGUAAACCUGUUCCUGAAAGAUCAUCCUCCCCCAGUCCUGAACCUCUGCAUCCUACAGGAGCGGAGCUCGGGGCACUGCACACUCUCUACCAGAGCACCACGGGAUCAAGCCACAGUGUGGACACACAUUACCAGGGUACUUUAGCCCAGUUGGCUCCAAUCCACCCAGCUGUACAAAGGAUCACCAGUAUUGGUGGGGGAUCAACCAGUGAUGGGCUUAUUGUGGGGAAGCCUUGUGCUCUCAUCCCCCAUCAACCUAACCUAAUCUAGAUACCAAGAUGAACUUGGACCAAGUGGAGCCCUGCGGCCUGUCAAGGACACACCAGGUCCACACGAAGAACAAAGUUCCAAUUUAACUGGGCACUCCGUCAGCCAAGCAAAAAGAUGGUGACCCAAGCAGAAGAGGCAGUAUCAGCACCCUGCCAGCUGCUGAACUUGUAUACUCCACAGUGGUGUUCGGGGAAGAUGUGCUUUAUGGGAAUCCACUUCAUCAAAGCUGCUGACCUUGGGAAAGGAAGGCUUCCUUUUCGUGUUGUUAGCCCCUCAGAAAGAUAUAGUUUGCAUAGAGCAUACAUUACUCAACCUGGGAGAAAAGAGUCCUGAAGCAACUGACCACAAAUGCACUUUCAAACAGCAUAACCCCAAACUGUCAUUCUAUGGUAGACUAUUUUUCUUUCCAAGCUAGUCAGAACGAGGGCAGAGGAUAUCCUUCUUUGAUAAAACCUGCAUCUUCACACAGAGCUGUAACUCUGCACUGUUAUAAACCAGAUGCAAUUAUUCUGUAGCAUGUUGCCUUGACAGAUCCAAUGAAACAAUCUAUAGCAAAACCAAAUCCAGACAAUUAUGUUGGAGUCUCUUAAGUUACAGCCUUCUUCCAACUUUGUAAUAAUUCCCUGUGGUUUAAGCUGUAUUUAAAAGGUCAGUAUAAUUGCAUGUCCUUCACUACAACAUUAUAGUACAGUUCCAGUUAGUCUUUAAAUACAUUCAGAUGGUCCUGUAUUAGGAACACAAGUCUCCUCUAUGUAACACAACUGAAACCUCUAUAACAAGGUCAUGAACAUGUGAACAAAGAGUACACCCUAAUUUUGAUAUUUCUUACUUUUAGUUUAUAUUAUUUUGCAAGACGGUAUUUCACACAAUAUUGGCAAAUGAGAACUUGAGCAAUGUAAAUGGAAGUUGAUACUCAUGAUGUGUCAUAACAACAGCACAUUUUAGUCCCAUGGCUUUAACAGUACUGGAACAGGAAACAAUUCCCUGAGAGAUCAUUGUUGUUUCAAGAAAACAGCACGGGGUUCUGGAGAAGGGCUUUUUCCUAUCGUGCUUGAAACUCAUCAGAUGAGAGCAAAGGAACACGGACACUGCUGUUGCAGAAGAAAGUUUUACUGCUUCAAGGUGAUUUAUUAUACUCCUGUUAUCUUUUGUUUAGGUUAAAGCAAGGAUCUCCUCCCUGUGACUAGGGAGACAAAGCACUUAUUUCUCAGACGACUACAGGCAUAUAUACAGUGUAUGGCACCUGGCCAACAGCAAACUCCCAUUGUAACACUGCAGAUCAGUUACUCCCUGCCAUGAAGCACUUCACAGGGGAAAGUCAAAGGGGCUGUGCUGGCAAGAUUUAAACCGAACAUGGGGAGGAGCUACAUACACACGGGACUAGAAUAAUAACAGAAAAAAAAGUUUGUCUGCCUUAUAUAUAGACUUUAAAUGUUUCCAAAUGCAGAACAACAACAAAGGCCCACCAACCACCUCAAUAAUACUUCUGAUUGCGCCGUCAGUCCUUUAGUUAAACCUGUAUUUUAUUCAACCAUGAAUUUCAUCACUCUGCAAACAGCUGCGUGAUUAUUAAUUCGAAUAAUCCAAUAAUUAUUUCGGGAGAGCUUUCGGGAGAGACCCCAAGCACAGAAAGCCUGUUACAAUGUUUUCAGACCCUCGGCUUAGCACUUCUGUCAUGGCUGUGCAUUUGUGCUCUGCAGGGCGCACUCCCUGCAGCUGGGAAGGAAAUGCCAGCUGGGAGGACUGGCAGGGGCUGCAAGCAUCAAGAGGUGAGCUGGUGUCUCAGAUUAGAUGGACGGAGAAAAAAAAACAGCUGAACACUCCUGUAAGAACCAAAGUAAGCUUCUAUGUGCACCACUGCAAUAAUGUGCACAGAUAUUCAUGUAUAUACUGUAUCGUAACGACACAAGAAUGACAAAAACUGCAAUGGAUUCUAACCUGGAAUAUGUAUAUAUGUAUUUUAUAAUAAAU